rnacentral:lncRNA from 1 species
CACAAGAGUCAUGUGAGCUUGCCACAGCUUGCCUAAUGGAAUUGCUCAGAGUUUCGUUGCAGUAAAAGAAGAGGAGAUUUGGAACCUUCAUAGUUGGUACUGAGAGACUACCCACUCACUAAACCCAUUGCGUGCUCAGCCAAGGGAAGAACUGACGAGUUUUGCUCUGCCAGGCAAAGGACUGGUGUCCUUUGGCACAGGCUGGCACAUCCAUUCAUGGGCCCCAGUGUCAGCCCUGUACCCAUGGUCCUUUACAGAAAAAUUUCUCCUUUUUGGUUUCACAGAAAGCAGAUGAUGCCAAAGCAUAAAAACACCACAUCAAAGAGGACAAAGCAGGUUUGUUGGAUCCUGCCACUCUAAUGAACAUGUCUAGCUUUCCUGC